CAGUCGCCGCGGUAAGACAGAGGAUGCAAGCGUUAUCCGGAAUGAUUGGGCGUAAAGCGUCUGUAGGUGGCUUUUCAAGUCCGCCGUCAAAUCCCAGGGCUCAACCCUGGACAGGCGGUGGAAACUACCAAGCUGGAGUACGGUAGGGGCAGAGGGAAUUUCCGGUGGAGCGGUGAAAUGCGUAGAGAUCGGAAGGAACAUCUGUGGCGAAGGCGACUAUCUGGGCCAACACUGACACUGAGGCACGAAAGCGUGGGGAGCAAACAGGAUUAGAUACCCCAGUAGUCCCUGUCUCUUAUAC
rnacentral:rRNA from 1 species